ensembl:lncRNA
CCCAGACCCUGCAUUAGUCUUCAUCAAGAGAAUAGUGAGAAUUUGUAUUUGUGUGAAUUCUUUCAGCAAAGCCACUAGAAAAAGUAAGAAUCUCAGGUUUCCCUCUGCUCUGGGUCUUCUCCUCCAUUUCCUCUUCAGAAAAGAGCAGGCCUUCAAGAGACAACAGCCAAACAGAACAAAACAAGCUGCAAUAAGAUAAGUCAAAGUCCUUAUAUUGAGACUAUCCAAUACCAUUUUCAAUGCAAUGUAAAUUACAUUCAUGCCAUCUAUCCAUACAUCCAUACAUCUUUGCACUAUACACUGACUUGUGUGUGUUACUGUUUUAGGACCAGCUUUCAGAAUUGCCAGCUUGAAAAGGGAUUAUAUAUUAGUAAGAAGAUUAUGGUGUUUAAAUUGUUGCUAAACCUUUUACCUUGGUAAUAACUCAAGAACUGCUUCUAUUACCUCUGGUCAUGUUACCGAUGUCAUCCUUUCCUUAUGCCUUCAAAGUGAAGAGGUAUAAUUGUGUGGAUAACAUCAAGAAGCAAAAGCAGUAGUAAAAGUUUUAUUUGCUGAAGCAUUAAGACUAGUAAACACAGUAAAACAGACUCCCCUUGAAGUUGCAUUUGUAAUCACCUCUUACUUAAAUCACUUGCAUACUAACUCUUCAAUGACUGGUUGAGUUCCUGCCAUGUGCAAUGCACUGUGCAUAAUUCAUAAAGCGGUAAAGAGUUGGUUGAGAAUGUAGAAACAAACGUGAAGACUGAAUAGAAAGCAAAACAUGUGAUAUACGGCUGCAAUCCAGUCUCCUCUCAAAAAUAAAAUAGCUAAAUAAUCGGAAAGAUAAACUCUGGCUGCCACCAUGAUCUUAUGUUCAAAAAUAAGUGCAGAAAUGGAAAUAUCACAUGAUGCCUUUCAAUCAUAUCUGUUACCUGUAAUGGGUUUUCAUUCUUUGUUACUAUGUAUUAAAUGAUUUGACAUAAUGAUUCUGAAAGUGAUUGCUAACUGAAAUUCACUGUUCAUAAUGAACCAACCCUCUAUUUUUGUAACAACUAAUUCAAAUUUGUCUUUGCUCCUCAG